UAACCUGCCCAAGAGAUCGGGAUAACACCUGGAAACAGAUGCUAAUACCGGAUAACAACAGAUGAUGCCUAUCAACUGUUUAAAAGAUGGUUCUGCUAUCACUAUUGGAUGGACCUGCGGUGCAUUAGCUAGUUGGUAGGGUAACGGCCUACCAAGGCGAUGAUGCAUAGCCGAGUUGAGAGACUGAUCGGCCACAUUGGGACUGAGACACGGCCCAAACUCCUACGGGAGGCAGCAGGC
rnacentral:rRNA from 1 species